UACGAAGGGGGCUAGCGUUGUUCGGAAUUACUGGGCGUAAAGCGUGCGCAGGCGGCUUCUCAAGUCAGGGGUGAAAGCCCAGAGCUCAACUCUGGAAUUGCCUUUGAGACUGAGUGGCUUGAGUACGAGAGAGGUGAGUGGAAUUCCCAGUGUAGAGGUGAAAUUCGUAGAUAUUGGGAAGAACACCGGUGGCGUAGGCGGCUCACUGGCUCGUAACUGACGCUCAUGCACGACAGCGUGGGGAUCAAAAAGG
rnacentral:rRNA from 1 species